UGAGGUAGUAGGUUAUAUUGUUUUAAGGCAGGAAUGUUGCCCAGGCUGGAGAUAACUAUAUAACCUACUGCCUUUC
rnacentral:pre_miRNA from 1 species